UACGGAGGGUGCAAGCAUUAAUCGGAUUUAUUGGGCGUAAAGGGCGCGUAGGCGGACUUUUAAGCCAGAUGUGAAAUCCCGGGGCUCAACCCCGGAACAGCAUUUGAAACUGAGAGUCUUGAGGGUAGAAGGAGAAAAUGGAAUUCCACAAGUAGCGGUGAAAUGCGUAGAUAUGUGGAAGAACACCGGUGGCGAAGGCGAUUUUCUAUUUUAUUCCUGACGCUGAGGCGCGAAAGUAAGGGGAUCAAACAGG
rnacentral:rRNA from 1 species